ACCAAAACAAGACGUUUUUAGUAAUCUUCUUCUUAUUUUUUAAACCACAUACAAAUGCUUCACGUGGACACACAAGAAACACAUAUUUUGUCCUUAUUUCUUUUCCUUUUUCUUUUCAACCAAACAUCACAUAUUAAUACCACUCAUGCUCUUCCUCACCAUGAAGAAAAAACUCAGUAACUAACAUCAACACAAACUCUCUUCCACUCACUUCAACACCAUAAAAAACACUGACUACAAUCUACAUCAACUUACCAUCAUCAUGGAUCAUCAUCAUUCUUCCUCAUGACAACUUUUCCGACCAUCCACCAUCCACCUCGGAUCCACCCUUUUCAACACAAAAACCUAUCUCACGUUAACUUUCAUGGUCCAACCAUCACGAAAAGGUUCUACAGGUUCCUCUAUUUGUUUUUCUGAGGUAGUCAUAACAUUUUCUUUUGGUGGUUCUGGAAUUUUAGGCCCAUCGUGUUGAGUUUCGCUUUGCAGCAAAAUAGUGUUAGCAUAGCCUUUAUGGUUAGGUUGAGGUUGUCCAGGGAACAAUCAUCCUAGUGUACCCUGAGAAGCUUGUUAUUGUGCUACUUGAGAAAUUUGGGUUUCCAGUAUCUUGUUGUGGGUUACCACAUAAUCAACCUUGUUUCCUAAUUGUGUAAUCAGUUCAUUAAUAUGGAUGUUUUGAUUCAUGAAUUCUUUAUUCUGCUGAGUUUGAGUCAUGAUAAAAUCUUCCAUAAUUUUCUCAAGGUUUGACUUCUGAAGGGAAGUUUGUAUUGGUUGUGUUGGUCUUUGGGCUUGGAAACCUGUUGGUCUUUGAGGUGUAGAGUUUAGGUGGAAAACAAAGUUAUUGUUCUUGUAAGAGAAGUUUGGGUGAUUCCUCCAUCCAGGGUUAUAAGUGUUUGAAUAGGGGUUUCCUUGGGCAUAGUUGAUAUGGUCUGGGUUUGUUUCAGCUAAUAUACUAUAUUCGGCAGUCACAUGUCCUGAUGUUUCACAGAUUUCGCAUCUGGGUUGUACUGCAUCUAUAGUAGUUGUAGGGUUUAUGAUUAAGCUUUCGACCUUUUGGGUUAGGGUGUCUAUUUUGGCUUACAUAUGGUUUAGGCUGCUAACCUCGUAUGUACAUAAUUUAAUCUCUUUAUUCUCUACUUGUAUACGCUUUGUACCCCACUGGUAA